rnacentral:rRNA from 1 species
CGUAGGGUGCGAGCGUUAAUCGGAAUUACUGGGCGUAAAGCGUGCGCAGGCGGUUUUGUAAGACAGGCGUGAAAUCCCCGGGCUCAACCUGGGAAUUGCGAUGGAGACUGCAAGGCUAGAGUUUGGCAGAGGGGGGUAGAAUUCCACGUGUAGCAGUGAAAUGCGUAGAGAUGUGGAGGAACACCGAUGGCGAAGGCAGCCCCCUGGGUCAAAACUGACGCUCAUGCACGAAAGCGUGGGGAGCAAACAGGAUUAGAUACCCUGGUAGUCCACGCCCUAAACGAUGUCUACUAGUUGUCGGGUCUUAAUUGACUUGGUAACGCAGCUAACGCGUGAAGUAGACCGCCUGGGGAGUACGGUCGCAAGAUUA